GCAGAAUUAGUUCAAAUGGACAGAGCAGCAGCCUACGAAGUUGUUAGUUAGAGGUUCGAAUCCUCUAUUCUGCA
rnacentral:tRNA from 1 species